UACGUAGGUGGCAAGCGUUGUCCGGAAUUACUGGGUGUAAAGGGAGCGUAGGCGGGCUCGCAAGUUGAAUGUUAAAUCUAUCGGCUCAACCGGUAGCCGCGUUCAAAACUGCGGGUCUUGAGUGAAGUAGAGGCAGGCGGAAUUCCUAGUGUAGCGGUGAAAUGCGUAGAUAUUAGGAGGAACACCAGUGGCGAAGGCGGCCUGCUGGGCUUUUACUGACGCUGAUGCUCGAAAGCAUGGGGAGCAAACAGGAUUAGAUACCCUGGUAGUCCAUGCCGUAAACGAUGAUUACUAGGUGUGGGGGGACUGACCCCUUCCGUGCCGCAGUUAACACAAUAAGUAAUCCACCUGGGGAGUACGGCCGCAAGGUUGAA
rnacentral:rRNA from 1 species